rnacentral:rRNA from 1 species
GAUGAACGCUGGCGGCGUGCCUAAUACAUGCAAGUAGAACGCUGAAGGAGGAGCUUGCUCUUCUGGAUGAGUUGCGAACGGGUGAGUAACGCGUAGGUAACCUGCCUGGUAGCGGGGGAUAACUAUUGGAAACGAUAGCUAAUACCGCAUGACAACAGUUAUUGCAUGAUAACUGUUUAAAAGGGGCAACUGCUCCACUACUAGAUGGACCUGCGUUGUAUUAGCUAGUUGGUGAGGUAACGGCUCAUCAAGGCAACGUUAUAUAGCCGACCUGAGAGGGGGUACGGCCAGUGUGGGAAUGAGACAGAGCCCGAACGCCGACGGAAGACGGCAGUAGGCGAUCUUCGGCAAUGGACGGAAGUCUGACCGAGCAACGCCGCGUGAGUGCAGCAGGUUUUCGGAUCGUAAAGCUCUGUUGUAAGAGAAGAACGGGUGUGGGAGUGGAAAGUUCACACUGUGACGGUAUCUUACCAGAAAGGGACGGCUAACUACGUG